rnacentral:rRNA from 1 species
UACGGAGGGUGCAAGCGUUAUCCGGAUUCACUGGGUUUAAAGGGUGCGUAGGCGGACAGGUAAGUCAGUGGUGAAAUCUCUGGGCUUAACUCAGAAACUGCCGUUGAUACUAUUUGUCUUGAAUGUCAUGGAGGUAAGCGGAAUAUGUCAUGUAGCGGUGAAAUGCUUAGAUAUGACAUAGAACACCGAUAGCGAAGGCAGCUUACUACAUGAAGAUUGACGCUGAGGCACGAAAGCGUGGGGGAGCAAAACAGG